rnacentral:rRNA from 1 species
AUGGAGAGGAACGGCAAUGCCAUUGCCGGGCCACCGCCGGAAGAGAACAAGGGCGCGGACGGCAAGAGCGGGAGCCGGCGGAGCACGCGGUUCAAGGAGGAGAACGAGUACGUGGAGGUCACGCUCGACGUCGGGGCCGACGACGCGGUGGCCGUCCAGGGCGUCAGGGCCGCCGGCGAGACGCCCGACGCGGCGCUGCUGCCCCGGAGUGGCGGCCUGUCCUCGAGGCUCAAGGCCGAGCUGAGGCGCAUCGCGUCGGCCAAGCGUGGGGGCAGCGACAACGCGCCGGCGAGCCAGCGCCGGCUGGACCGGAGCAUGACCGGCGCCGCGCGCGCGCUCAGGGGCCUCCACUUCCUCAACCAGAGCGUGGUCACGCGGGGCAGCUGGCCUGAGGUGGAGAAGCGGUUCGACCGCCUCGCCGUCGACGGCCUGCUCCUCAGAUCACGCUUCGGCCAGUGCAUUGGGAUGGUUGGGUCGGAGGAGUUCGCGGCGCAGAUGUACGACGCGCUUGCAAGGCGAAGGGGGAUCGUUGCUCAGGUGCUGACCAAGGAUGAGCUGAGGGAGUUCUGGGAGCAGCUCUCCGAUCCAGGCUUUGAUGCCAAGCUCCAGACUUUCUUUGACAUGGUUGACAAGAAUGCAGACGGUCGGAUCACCGAAGAGGAGCUCAAAGAGGUCCUCACUCUGACGGCCUCCGCGAACAAGCUCACCAAAAUCCUGGAGCGCGUCGACGAGUACACUGCGUUGAUCAUGGAGGAGCUCGACCCCGACCAGCUCGGCUACAUCGAGCUUGCGACACUGGAGUCCCUGCUGCUGCUGCCCCCUUCCCAGGCGCCGACGAGCCUGGUGGCGCACAGCUCCAACAUCAGCCAGCUCAUCAGCCAGAGGCUGGUGCCGGCGCGGGACGCGAACCCGCUCCGGCGGGGCGUCACGGCGACGCGCUACUUCCUGGAGGACAACUGGAAGCGCGUGUGGGUGAUGGCGCUGUGGCUGUCCAUCAACGCCGGCCUCUUCGCCUGGAAGUUCUACGCGUACCGCCGCCACCCGACGUUCGACGUGAUGGGCUACUGCGUGUGCGUGGCCAAGGGCGGCGCCGAGACCACCAAGUUCAACAUGGCCCUCAUCCUCCUCCCCGUGUGCCGCAACACCAUCACCUGGCUCCGCUCCCGGACCAGCCUCGGCGCCGCCGUGCCCUUCAACGACAACAUCAACUUCCACAAGGUGGUGGCCGGGGGCGUGGCCGUCGGCGUGGCGCUGCACGGGGUGACCCACCUCACGUGCGACUUCCCGCGCCUGCUCCGCGCCACCGACGAGGCGUACGAGCCGAUGAAGCGCUACUUCGGGCAGGCGAGGGUCCCGGACUACUGGUGGUUCGUGCGGGGCGUGGAGGGCGUCACCGGCGUCAUCAUGGUGCUGCUCAUGGCCGUCGCCUACACGCUGGCGCACCCGCGGUUCCGCCGGAGCAAGCUCGGCGCGGGGAACCCGCUCAAGAGGCUCAGCGGCUUCAACAUGUUCUGGUACUCCCACCACCUCUUCGUCGUCGUCUACGUCGCCUUGGUCGUCCACGGCGUCUGCCUCUACAUCAACCGGACGUGGUACAAGCAGACGACAUGGAUGUACCUUGCCGUCCCCGUGUUGCUGUACGCCGGCGAGCGGCUUCUUCGGGCGCUGAGGUCGCACGGACUCACCACCGUGAGGAUCGAGAAGGUGGCGGUGUAUCCUGGGAAUGUGAUAGCCAUCCACAUGAGUAAGCCCCACGGCUUCAGGUACAGGAGCGGCCAGUACAUCUACGUCAACUGCGGCGAGGUCUCGCCGUUCGAGUGGCACCCAUUCACCAUCACCUCCGCUCCCGGCGACGACUACCUCAGCAUGCACAUCCGGUGCCGGGGCGACUGGACGAGCAGAUUCAGAGCCAUUUUCUCCCAGAUAUGCAGGCCACCGUCGGCAGGGCAGAGCGGCCUCCUGAGAGCCGACUUCACGUCCAUGGUGGAGCACAACGCCAACGCCAAGUUCCCGAGGCUGCUGAUCGACGGGCCCUACGGCGCGCCGGCGCAGGACUACCGCAAGUACGACGUGCUCCUCCUGAUCGGCCUCGGCAUCGGCGCCACGCCGCUCAUCAGCAUCGUCAAGGACGUGCUCAACAACGUCCACCGGCAGGACGGCGACGAGGGGUUCAUGACGAAGCGGGUCUACUUCUACUGGUGCACGCGGGAGGAGGGCUCCUUCGAGUGGUUCCGCGGCGUGAUGAACGAGGUGGCGGAGCGCGAUGCCGCCGGCGAGGAGUCCGUGGUGGAGCUGCACAACCACUGCACCAGCGUGUACGAGGAAGGCGACGCGCGGUCGGCCAUGGUGGUGAUGCUGCAGGCGCUCCACCACGCCAAGAGCGGCGUGGACGUGGUGUCCGGGACGCGCGUCCGCACGCACUUCGCCAGGCCCUGCUGGCGCGACGUCUUCAAGCGCGUCGCCUGCGACCACCAGGGGCAGCGCGUCGGGGUCUUCUACUGCGGCGACCAGAAGCUCACGCCGGAGCUCAGGCGGCUGUCGCAGGACUUCUCGCACCGGACCACCACCAAGUUCGUCUUCCACAAGGAGAACUUCUGA